GUGGAGUUAGCUUAACAGGAAAAACAUUGGUCUUCCAAACCGAAGCUGUCGGGUCGGUUCCGAUACUCCACUCCA
rnacentral:tRNA from 1 species